GGGAGGUAGUGACAAUAAAUAACAAUACGGGGUUCUUCGAAUCUCGUAAUUGGAAUGAGUACAAUUUAAAUCUCUUAACGAGGAACAAUUGGAGGGCAAGUCUGGUGCCAGCAGCCGCGGUAAUUCCAGCUCCAAUAGCGUAUAUUAAAGUUGUUGCAGUUAAAAAGCUCGUAGUUGAAUUUCGGGAUCAGCAGGUUGGUCUUGCCACUGGUAUGUACUAGCUUGCUGAUUCCUCCUUCUUGUAGAACCGUAAUGCCAUUAAUUUGGUGUUGCGGGGAAACAGGACUGUUACUUUGAAAAAUUAGAGUGUUUAAAGCAGGCUAACGCUUGAAUACAUUAGCAUGGAAUAAUGAAAUAGGACGUUUGAUCCUAUUUUGUUGGUUUCUAGGAUUGACGUAAUGAUUAAUAGGGAUAGUUGGG
rnacentral:rRNA from 1 species